rnacentral:rRNA from 1 species
UAGAGUUUGAUCAUGGCUCAGGAUGAACGCUAGCGGCAGGCUUAACACAUGCAAGUCGAGGGGCAGCGGGGAGUAGCAAUACUCUGCCGGCGACCGGCGAAAGGGUGCGUAACGCGUGAGCGACAUACCCGUGACUGGGGCAUAACCGAUGGAAACGUUGACUAAUUCCCCAUAACACAUCGUGCUGCAUGGCAUGGUGUUGAAAAUUUCGAUGGUCACGGAUUGGCUCGCGUCUGAUUAGCUAGUUGGUGGGGUAACGGCUCACCAAGGCGACGAUCAGUAGGGGCUCUGAGAGGAAGGUCCCCCACAAUGGAACUGAGACACGGUCCAUACUCCUACGGGAGGCAGCAGUGAGGAAUAUUGGUCAAUGGGCGGAAGCCUGAACCAGCCAUGCCGCGUGCAGGAUGACGGCCCUAUGGGUUGUAAACUGCUUUUGCUGUGGAGCAAUAAGGGUCACGCGCUGACCCGAUGAGAGUACACAGCGAAUAAGCAUCGGCUAACUCCGUGCCAGCAGCCGCGGUAAUACGGAGGAUGCGAGCGUUAUCCGGAUUUAUUGGGUUUAAAGGGUGCGUAGGCUGUGCGGUAAGUCAGAGGUGAAAGGUCCGCGCUCAACGCGGGAACUGCCUUUGAUACUGCCGUGCUGGAGUGCGGAUGCCGUUGGAGGAAUGAGUGGUGUAGCGGUGAAAUGCAUAGAUAUUACUCAGAACACCGAUUGCGAAGGCAUCUCACGAAGCAGAGAUUGACGCUGAGGCACGAAAGCGUGGGGAUCAAACAGGAUUAGAUACCCUGGUAGUCCACGCAGUAAACGAUGAUAACUAACCGUCGGCGAUAGACAGUCGGUGGCCAAGCGAAAGCGAUAAGUUAUCCACCUGGGGGAGUACGACCG